rnacentral:rRNA from 1 species
GACGAACCGUGCGAACGUUGUUCGGAAUCACUGGGCUUAAAGGGCGCGUAGGCGGGCACAAAAGUCAGAGGUGAGAGCCCCCGGCUCAACCGGGGGAAGUGCCUUUGAUACUGUGUGUCUCGAGGGGGAUAGGGGCGUGCGGAACUUCCGGUGGAGCGGUGAAAUGCGUAGAUAUCGGAAGGAACACCGGUGGCGAAAGCGGCGCGCUGGAUCCCUUCUGACGCUGAGGCGCGAAAGCCAGGGGAGCGAACGGG